GUCGCUGAUGGAUGGCACCCGGGUGCAUUAGCUCAGUUGGUGAGUGUAACGGCUCACCAAGGCCAACGAUGCAUAGCCGACCUGACCAGGGUGAUCGGCCAAAACUGGGACUCGAAACACUGGCCAGACUCCUACGGGAGUGCAGACGUCAGGGACAUCUUCGGCAAUUGGACGAAAGUCUGACCGAGCAACGCCGCGUGAUGAAGAAGGUUUUCGGAUCGUAAACUCUGUUGGUUAGAGAAGAACAAGGACGUUAGUAACUGAACGUCCCCUGACGGUAUCUAACCAGAAAGCCACGGCUAACUACGUGCCAGCAGCCGCGGUAAUACGUAGGUGGCAAGCGUUGUCCGGAUUUAUUGGGCGUAAAGCGAGCGCAGGCGGUUUCUUAAGUCUGAUGUGAAAGCCCCCGGCUCAACCGGGGAGGGUCAUUGGAAACUGGGAGACUUGAGUGCAGAAGAGGAGAGUGGAAUUCCAUGUGUAGCGGUGAAAUGCGUAGAUAUAUGGAGGAACACCAGUGGCGAAGGCGGCUCUCUGGUCUGUAACUGACGCUGAGGCUCGAAAGCGUGGGGAGCAAACAGGAUUAGAUACCCUGGUAGUCCACGCCGUACACGCUGAGUGCUAAGUGUUGGAGGUUUCCGCCCUUCAGUGC
rnacentral:rRNA from 1 species